GAGAGUAGUUUCCAUUUCCAUGUCAGGAGAUCGCCUUUUGAGAUGGAGUCCACAGCUGAAGCAAUCAAGUUGUAGGCAGAAGAUCAGUAAUGAGGAGAUGGAGCAUCUUUACAUUCAAACCGUGUGAGUAGCAUGCUCUACCAGAAUAAACAAGCAGAUACUGUAAAAAUAUAGCAAUGAGGAACCAGGAAAGAACAAUAAAUAAAUUGUGAAUCUUAGACCUGUGAUGGCAUUGACUUUUAUUAAGACCAAAGAAGAGACUGCAAUGUCUGAAUAACCAAGCUGGUGACUCUUCAGCAACAAUAUGGGCUGCAUUAAAGAAAGAUGGUUAAAUAUGUGGAAAGGAGUACCAGUUUAUGGCCCAAGGGCAUCAAUCUUCAAGGUGGGAAAAUGAUUAUUCUGAUGUCAAUGCUAAUGUCUCUCAAAAUCUAUAAUUUAAGACCUAGCCCACAAGGUCAUUACAUUAUAAAGUAAGAACUUUUGAGGAAUCAGUCACGAUGGCUCUGCAUUUGUAAAAGAAAUGAGAAAAAUAGUGUCUUGCCCCCUCUGUCUUGUGAGGCUAUGGAAUUUAUCCGUUUCUCUAUGCUCUGAUUUUGGACUUACUUCCCAGCCUACAACUAUGAGGAAUACAUCCUAUUGUUUAUAACUUACAAGAUCUAAAGUAUUACCUUACAUCAGCCUGAAUGGAAUGGAGCUGAUUCAUCUGUAGUUAUUACUGCUACCUGCUACAGAUUAUUGCCUGCUAAAUGUGAAGUUUUCAACUCAAAG
rnacentral:lncRNA from 1 species